rnacentral:rRNA from 1 species
UACGUAGGGGGCUAGCGUUAUCCAGAUUUACUGGGCGUAAAGCGCGUGUAGGCGGCUGGUUAGGUGUGAUGUGAAAUCCUCGGGCUCAACCCGAGAACUGCAUUGCAAACCGGCCUGGCUAGAGUGCAGGAGAGGGAAGCGGAAUUCCAGGUGUAGCGGUGAAAUGCGUAGAUAUCUGGAGGAACACUAGUGGCGAAGGUGGUUUCCUGGUUUGUAAUUGACGUUGAGACGCGAAAGUGUGGGGAGCGAAUUGG